rnacentral:rRNA from 1 species
GUGGGGAAUAUUGCACAAUGGGCGCAAGCCUGAUGCAGCAACGUCGCGUGAGGGACGACGGCCUUCGGGUUGUAAACCUCUUUUAGCAGGGAAGAAGCGAAAGUGACGGUACCUGCAGAAAAAGCACCGGCUAACUACGUGCCAGCAGCCGCGGUAAUACGUAGGGUGCAAGCGUUGUCCGGAAUUAUUGGGCGUAAAGAGCUCGUAGGCGGUUUGUCGCGUCUGCUGUGAAAACCCGAGGCUCAACCGCGGGCCUGCAGUGGGUACGGGCAGACUAGAGUGCGGUAGGGGAGAUUGGAAUUCCUGGUGUAGCGGUGGAAUGCGCAGAUAUCAGGAGGAACACCGAUGGCGAAGGCAGAUCUCUGGGCCGUAACUGACGCUGAGGAGCGAAAGCGUGGGGAGCGAACAGGAUUAGAUACCCUGGUAGUCC